rnacentral:rRNA from 1 species
UACGUAGGGGGCAAGCGUUGUCCGGAUUUAUUGGGCGUAAAGAGCGUGUAGGCGGCUUUGCAAGUCCGUUGUGAAAACUCGAGGCUCAACCUCGAGACGCCGGUGGAAACUGCAAAGCUAGAGUCCGGAAGAGGAGAGUGGAAUUCCUGGUGUAGCGGUGAAAUGCGCAGAUAUCAGGAGGAACACCCGUGGCGAAAGCGGCUCUCUGGGACGGUACUGACGCUGAGACGCGAAAGCGUGGGGAGCAAACAGG